rnacentral:rRNA from 1 species
UACGUAGGGUGCAAGCGUUGUCCGGAAUUAUUGGGCGUAAAGAGCUCGUAGGCGGUCUGUCGCGUCUGCUGUGAAAACUCGGGGCUUAACCCCGGGCCUGCAGUGGGUACGGGCAGACUAGAGUGCGGUAGGGGAGACUGGAAUUCCUGGUGUAGCGGUGAAAUGCGCAGAUAUCAGGAGGAACACCGGUGGCGAAGGCGGGACUCUGGGCCGAUAUUGACGCUGAGGAGCGAAAGCGUGGGGAGCGAACAGG